rnacentral:rRNA from 1 species
UACGAAGGGGGUUAGCGUUGUUCGGAUUUACUGGGCGUAAAGGGCGCGUAGGCGGGCUGAUCAGUCAGGGGUGAAAUCCCAAGGCUCAACCUUGGAACUGCCUUUGAUACUGUCGGUCUUGAGUUCGAGAGAGGUAAGUGGAACUGCGAGUGUAGAGGUGAAAUUCGUAGAUAUUCGCAAGAACACCAGUGGCGAAGGCGGCUUACUGGCUCGAAACUGACGCUGAGGCGCGAAAGCGUGGGGAGCAAACAGG